rnacentral:tRNA from 1 species
UUUGUUUUAUUAUAUUUAUUAUGUUAAAUUUCCAAUUUAAAGACUCUUUUUUAAAGAAAACAAAA